UAAAGAAUUAUUACUGGUCACACACAGCUUUGUGUGAAAUUAACUGACAAGAUUAGUAUUGCUCAUAAUGACUAGAGCUGCUCCUGGAUUGCUUGCUCAUCACCAUCUGCCAGGCUGAGGGUGACCAAGGAAAAGCAAAAAGAUUGCCUAGGACACAAAUCUACAGCCACUGAAGAAGUCUGCUUCAUUGGUCUGAAGAGUCAUGGAUUUAAGACAAAGAUCCUGUUGCCCAUGGACAGGUGCUAAAAAGCCCAUGAAGUCCUUUAUGUAUCACUGAACCGGACCUGUCCUCUGCAAGAGCUGCAAAGCAUCCUGUGUGCUAGAUUACUGACUCCCAUCAUCCCAGGAUGUAUUCAUGAUGAGCGCUGAGGGAGCUGGCCAAUAUCACUGCUAGGCCACUCAAUUAUCUUUGAAAGUUCAUGGGAGUCGAAGGAGGUUCCUGAGGACUCGAAGACCUAUUAUCUUCAAGAAGGGCAAGAAAGAAGAUCGAUGGAACUACAGGCUGGUCAGCCUCACCUUGAUCCCUUGGGACGUGAUGGGGUAAAUAAUCCUGGAAGCCAUUUCCAGACCUGUUAAGAAGGUGUGGUCAUCAAGUCACCAGGAAGGUGACUGAGUAGUCAGCAUGGACUGACUGGGAAGGCAAGUCAGGCCUGAGCAACCUGAUAGGUCAGUCACUGCUGGUGUGCCCCAGGGGCUCAUACUGGGGCAAGUACUGUUUAAUCUCUUCAUUAAUGACCUGGACCAUGGGACAGACUGCACUCUCAGCAAGUGUGAUGAUACAGACUUGGGAGGGGCGGCUGAUAGACCGGAUGGUUGUGCUGCCUUUCAGAGGGACUUCAACAGGCUGGAGAGAUGGGCUGACAGGAAUCUGAUGAAGGUCAACAAAGCAAAAGGCCAAGUCCUGCACCCGAGUAGGAAUAGCCUUGUGCAUCAGUACACACAGUAGAGGCCAACCAGCUGGAAAGCAGCUUUACAGAAAAGAACCUGGGAGUCCUUGUGGACAACAAGCUGGUCAGAAGCCAGCAACGUGCCCUCAUGGAAAAGGCAGCCUCACCCUAAUGGGCUGCAUUAGGAAGGGUGUCACCAGCAGGUUGAGGGAGGUGACCCUCCUCUCUACUCAGCACCAGUAAGACAUAUCUGCAGUGCUGGCUCCAACUCUGGGGAAACCAGUACAAGAGUCAUGGACAUACUGGAACAAGUUCAGUGACAAUUAGGGGCUUGGAGCAUCUGCCAUACAAAGUGCAGCUGAGAGACCUUACGUUGUUCAAUCUGGAGAAGCGAAUGCUUGGGGAGAUCUUAUCCAUGUCUAUAAAUACCUGGUGGGGGACUAAAGAAGAUGGAGACAGACCGCUCUUGGUGGUGCCCACUGAGGCAACAGGCACAAACUUAAACAGAGGAAAUACCACUUAAACAUCAGAAAAAGACUUACUUUUUUUUUUUUUUUUUUUUAUGGUGUUGGUGGUCAAACACUGGCACAAGUUGCCCAGAGAGGUUGUGGAGUCUCCAGCCUUGGAGAUAUUAAAAAUCCCACUGGACACCACCCUUAGCAACCUGCUCUAGCUGGCCCUGCUGUGAGCAGGGGAGUUGGACUAGAUGAUCUCCAGAGGGGCCUUCCAGCCUCAGCAAUUCUAUGAUUCUCUGGUUCAGUCACUUUUAACAGCCAUUGUUACAGCCUUGUCUACUAAAUUGUACUUGGGCUUUAAGUUUCUACUUUUCAAAUUCUACUUUUAUAUGAUAAAGUCAUCCUCAUUCUUUUUCAAGGGAAGCCUGACUAAAGUUGUUAUUUUCCAUAUAAAUAGCAAAAUGUAACCUCACUGCCCAGUAAUGCAAGUAUAAGUUCUGUUGCUGUUUGUAAGCAAUAGGAAUAUUUUAACAAGAAUAAGGAAAACAUUUGAAAAUGAAAAAUUUGAACAACAAAUUUCAUUUUUUUCUGUUUCUAAAUUUAUCUCAGCUAAUUCUUAUUUAAAUAAGCUAGAGUCAUAUUUGUUAUAGAAUGGAAACAAAAGCAAGUAUUUGUUGUGGUUGAAAAAAUUAUAUAUUUAUGCCACCAGUAUGUGAUGCUGGAACUGACAGGCAAAUAGCAACCAGUGAGACUCCAUUCUUACAUAACAAACAUGACAUUGCCAUUGAUUUUUCAAAUUGAUUUUUGUGAAUUGCAAAAUUGAUUUUUGUGAAUAGAAAAAAAUACACUAACUACAAAAUGCCUUGCACAUUGAUAUGGCUAGAAAUGACUAGUAGCAGAGUAAAAAAAGAAGAGAAAUAACGAUCUGGAAGAGAAACUGCAUUUCUUUUCUCUAAAGAGCCUGUUGCCACAGGCUACCUCUUGUCCAGCCAUUUCUGGCUUCAGUUAUCAAGAGCUUUUAGCUCUGGAACAUCAAAAUCUCCAGAAUGUGCAUUUUCCACUUGCUCCUAGUAGGUACACACAUAAUACAGGUCUUUAAAAAUAUGCCUAUGUGACCAUGGGUUACCUUUGUUUGAUGCUUUUCAGACUGUCUUUACUUGUUUUUCCAGUAUGUCUGGGUGAGAGGAUGCAAACCAGCUAUAAACCAUCAGCUGGAAGCAGAUGUGUUUGUGGCCACACUGUCAGACUCAAUAACACAGUAAUGCAGCUGCAUGGCUUCUGAUUCAAGACCUGUCAACUGAGGUCCUGCACAACUGCAUAUCUGACACGUACCUGGCCAUCUAGGUACAUCUUUCUGCAAAAGACCAGGUAGAUCUACUGCUCCCUAGGCACGUACAGGCGGUAAAGGACAAAUGAGCGAUGUGAUAGAGCAUACAAUUGCUGCGCAACAGCAAUGUCUAGGGAAACAAGACUUGAUUGUGUUUGCAAAAUCCAGUGAACUGUAAUACAGCCGGAAGCACUCACAUGGAAACACCAAAGAGCUGCUGCAAAAUAGCGCCAUUUAUUUUUGAAUCUUUCAGAUUGUGCCCUCCUGCGAUAUAGCUAGGAUGGGAGACGAAACUCCCCGCAGCGGUUUGUUUAUGUCUAGCAGAUCUCUUACCACGCCUGGUGGAUAGCAGGAGGUGAGAGAGGGCAGAGUCUUUGGUCCUGGAGAGGAUGGCUGCAUUGUAAGUCAGUUAAGGAAAGAGUUUCUGCUGAUGCAUGUUCCCUGUGAGCAUGAGUACCUGAGGAAAACGAGCAGAUCAGAUUAAAGCUGGCAGCUAUAGGAAAGGAGCUCAUGCAUGAAGUGAUAAGCCAUCCCCUUUCCCACCACAAAAAAACCACAGUAAGUGAGUUGAGAAAGGUAAAUUUAGACAACUAAAUCACUACGUGACCCUUCCCCAAAGCGUAUGGCUUGGCUCAAGUCACAGUGAGACUGUUGCUCCUAGGAAAGCACGGUUACAACCAACGGCCAGGCUGUUCAGAAAGCAUGGAAGCGACGGUGCUACAGACACACAGUUUUCAAAAUUAAGGGGCAAGCACGGAUUAAAAGAUCUCUACAGAAAGGUAGUAAUUAAAUGAGCAAAUUAAUCAUUCAGAAAAGUCGACAUUUAAAUGCAAAGGUUUUUAUCUUUUUGUGUGCUUUUUUUCAGUUUAUUCAAAUAUCAGUACCUUGGUGGUUUGGAGAAUUUUUAAAUGACCCACACGGUCUGUAAAUGUCAGAUUAGUACGUUUAUGCCACAGGUGAUUGUUGUGAUUCAAGCUGAAAUACAUCUCUCCGGAAACGCCAGAAACCCUCCAGCUUUAACUCUCUUAUUGUUACUAGCCUGUUACCCAAAAUAGCUUUACCACUCUUCUGGGAGCACAAAGAAAUAGAAAACAAUAUGCAUGUUUUAUUUGAUAAGUAAAUUGUCAUAAACUAUAGAACAACUCUGAGCACCAUGAUAAAUCAGUAGAUAAUGGGUUUCUGUAUUUAUUAACAUGAUAAAAUAGACUAACAUAUUUGGCUCUAAAUGGCCACCUAAUUUCGUGAAAUUGAAUACAACUGCCCUGUACAUAAUAUCACAACUGAACAGUGAUAAACAUGCCUAAUUCACAAAUUCUCUGUGAAUGUUGGGGAUGACAGAACCCCAAAUGCUUCAGAUGUCUGUUUCCAGAGCUAGAAGCCAAACCUGGUUUUAAAAACUCCCAUAGCUCUAAGUCUUGAAUUUGCAUGUUUAUUGCCCUGAGUUAAUCUGGGAACCCGUCUGAAUUUUCUGCUAAUGAGUAAGAGGACUAUAUUUUGGCUGUUUGGGGGCAGCAAGGAGCAUUAACAUUUCUUACUUCUCUUGAACUUUCUGCCCUUCUGGAAAAGAAGUGAGAGACACUACUGAGGCGUGACCAUUCAAUCCCAGCAUAUGUUAGCUUCAAUUUGACCCCUGCUGGCUGAUCAAGAAUGGCAGAGAACUUCUGCCUCCACAAAUAACUAACUAUACAUUACAGAGUCAGAAAUAUGUUUCCAGUCAGGGACCGUUAUAUUUUAGAAAGAGAGUCAUGCAAGCAUUAACAGCUGUGCGUGCACUUUCAGCGCACACCCAUCUCUCAGGCUUCCUCUAUUCCCUUUCCCUCAAUUGCUCAAACAUCCCUUGACUAGAAUCCAUUUUUAUUUGGAAUGAGAAGAACUUGAAAGAAGUGAAGGACAGAUAGCAGGCCAGAGGCAGGAUGCCCAGAAACAGAGUCAAAAUAUUACAGGGUAUUUCAUCACUGGUGAGAACACUUUAUUAUUGAAGAAAGUAUAUGUAAAUACUGGAUUGAUUUUCUGACAGUACAGAACAGACCUGGCUUUGGCCUCAUUAAAAAAGAGAAAAAUAUCUUAAAUACCACUGUGGAACAAUUGAUGCUUGUUAUCUGACAGCACAAAAAGCAGUUAAAAGAAUGCCUGUGAAACUGAGCGGCAUCAUUAGGUACAAUGAUGAGAUACAUAUGUUUAGACAAGCCUCUCAGAAACCACUGGUUUUUGGAAAGUAUUUUCUGUCUAUUAGUGAUGCCAGAGUAAAACAUUCUGCUCAUGCUUUCUUCUAUUUCAGUCCACAGGAAGUGUUUCCAUUUGAAGCAAGUUGGCAAUUGCAAGGAUGUAGAAGCUAUCUGAAAACCAGCAGGAAGCACAACUAUGAAAAGAAGAAUAGGGCAAUGGGUCACAGCAAGAACAAGAAAAAGAGACAAGAAGUUAGAGUCUUUCUUAUUGAAGGAGCAGAAGUUUUGCCAGAAGGCUUCCUAAGAGGUUGAACCACCAGAAGCAUUGAAAACAAGUUCACAUCGAAAACUAUAUGCAUAAAUCCUUCUGCAUCCCACAUCAAAAGGGAAGGACAUCACUGGGAGAUGGACUGAAUAUAUGCUGUAGACACUCAUCCAGUUUAAAGAUGGAAUGAGGACUACAGACCCUUCUCAGAGAGGACAGCAACAGAGACAUCUUGCUGAAAGUCAAAAAGAGCUAUAUUACCUGUGCAAGAAAGAAGCAAGAAUGAUGAAGGAUGGUUUCUGCAAAGAAAUACAUAUAAGAGACAAAUUCUUGUGGUGACAGAGAAAUAAAUGGAUGGCAGAAGUGAUGAUACACCGUAUGAUGCCAGACAAACAAAAGGAGAGCAAAGGCAUGUUGUUUGAUUUAAUGACUUAAAAAACAAAACAUGUAUUUUGAGUCAAUGUUUGUUAUGCGGCAUAUUGUCACUUGCCUUAAUCAUCCUACACUUACACCAUAGAAUCCUGAAGUGAGAUUCAUCACAGCGUCAUAGCCAUCAACACCUGAGCAGACAUCCUUAGCCUUCCUUUCCAGUUGAUGAAGAAGCAUAGGUACUUCAAAAGAAUGAGUCUAUUGAUUUAUUCUAGAGUCUACAUUAGGUUGAGAUUAAAUUCUAAAGCUGCCUAUUUCAAUUGACAACAAAGGUAGCAUAAAAUUGUCUCUAACUUUACUAUAAGCUUGUCUAAGUCUUUAAAGUGUCUGAAGUUACAUGAAGCCCACCUUUCAGUUUUGCAUAACAUCUUUUGUACCCUUCCAGUGAACAGAAAUACAUCCAUUUGACAAUGCACUUCGGUGCACUCUUCAAAUUCUGUUAUUCUUGCAUUUAAAAGGUUUUUUUAAUAAGUAAUUUUAUUGAUCUGUCAUUCAUAAAGAUCCAUGGCAGAAGUUAUUAAGCCUUACAGUAAUACAAAGGAAUGCAUACAAACUGAUUUGUUUUUUGUGUACAUAGCAUACUUCUUGUAAAGAAAACCGGAUAUCUAUAUGUGGAAGGGAACAUAUGCUUACAUAUCUAUUUCCAUUAACUAUUAUCCACUUUAUAUGCAAAAAUUGGCUCUGGCUUAUAUGAAAGUGGGUGCAUUAAUUGAAGCAUAAAAAUUCACCCUCAGAGACUACUACUAGAAUUUAAAUCCACUUAUGAUAUAUUUAUCAGAACUGAUUUAAAAUCAUACUUUCACUUCCCUUCAUUUUCUUUAGGUUUUAAUUGUCCAUGUGAACAGUAGCUUGAAGUUGUGAUUGAUUACUUAUAUAGACUAACCACUUAAAGAACUAUAAAAUAGGGAAAGGGCAUUGUAAUUACAUGGUUUCAACUGCAGGUAUUAGUAUUCAAGAAGAGUGAUUUUUCAAGGGAAGAUCAAGCCUCACAACCAUGAAUAGGAGUCUUUCUCAACAUAACUGACACAGUAACUGUCAGUACCAGUCUUGAAAACCACGACAGCUUUAAAAUACCGUAGCUGUAAUUGUGAAAUGCUUAGCUGGCUGUCAGUUGUUCUGUGGCUAUAUCUAGAUUUACUUCCAUAUGAUGUUUAUUUUGUAUUAGAAAAGCAUUAAAAGUCUUGACAGUUAUAAGGUACAAAUUUACUUACUUCCAUUUAUUUUUUAACUGUCCGAGGCAGAAACCAAUUUCUUUCAACAUGCUUGAAUAACAACUUUUAAAGAGGACCUAGAUCACCCCUUGAAAUAUUUUAUAUUACCUCUACAGGAAUUAUAUGCAACUAUAUUGUUACCAUUGUAUUUUAUUUCCUCUGACCCUUUGACAUAUUAUGGAUAGCAUGUAUAUAACCUGAAAGUUUAUAAUAUGGAAUGUAAACAGAAUUUUGUCCCAGGAUGAAGGAGGCUUUGCCUGGAGUGAUGCAGGAAAAGAAGGUCUUUUAAGGGUCAUCAUGACUUCUUAUUUCCUGACCCCACUGAAAGGCUGGAGACAUAUGAACGGUAUUGCUUGAACAAGUGGGCAGACCUGAAAUUUUUACAGAAGUCUUUCAUCAGAGCCCUGUCUACUACCCCAGGUUAACACUACAACCGUAUCGUUACCAAUAUUAUAUAUAAUUGUUAACAAUCCUGCAGGGGAAUUUGGCACAACCCCUGUUUGUUCCAGGUAUAGAUCUGAUCCCAGAGCCUGGUUACAGCAAUGAGAAUUUCUGGAAAUGGUCUCUGGACCCCAGCAGAGACAGUUGCAUGCCCAGCAACAUUGGCAAGCAUCCAGCUGGCAAGUGAAGGCAAUUCUCCUGUUAGAGAAUUUUCCCUUCCUUCCUAAGUGUCCCUUGACUGAAGUCUGGUUUCUACCCUGGCCAAUAUUUCAGCACACCUCAGCUCCCCAUUUUAUCCAGAACAAUGUAGCCAGGAGAAAGGAGGAGAGACUGCCUGGUAAAACAGCUCUGGCUUUGUUCGCAUUGCUCACAAUCUGUGAAUAUUAGGCACACUAAUUAAUAAUGCUUUGCACUAACAUAGCUCAUUUGAUUAAAGGUUCUGGAAUUGAUUUAUGUGUAUUGAUUGAUGCAACAUCAUGCUAGAUCCUCAAUAUAGGUAAGCUGUACAUCUGUAAAACAAUACAGGCACAGUAGUGGUUUCAGUUUUCUGGUACUUGUGGAAU